UUUUAUUUUAGGGAAAACUUUAAAAAAAAUCCUACGUGGUUUCACACUUUCUCAUUUUAGUACAUUUGGUUUAAAGUGUAUUAAUUUGGUGCCCUAUGGUUUCAUUUUUAUCUUUUCAACAGCUUUUUCAUUAAUAUUUUGUUAAAUUAUAUACAAAAUACUUUAGAUACCCAUCUAGGUUUAUCGAACAUUCACUUUAGUACCCCUUAAUUUUAAUUUUGUCACUGAUUUUAAAAAAAAUAGUAAAAUUCAUAAUAAAAAGAGAAAAAUAAAACCACUAGGCACCAAAUUGAUACACUUUAAACCAUAUGGUACUAAAGUGAAAAAGUGCGAAACCACAGGGGAUUUUAGUUUUCCCUUUAUUUUAGGAAAAACUUCAAAUACCACCGUGUUUUAGCACUUUCUCACUUUAAUACUCUAUGAUUUAAAGUGUAUCAUUUUCGUAUCCUGUGAUUUUAUUUUUUUAUCUCCUCCACUAAUUUUUUUUGUUAAAUCAGUGACAUAGAUAAAACUAAAGGUAUUAAAAUAAAUAUUCGAUAAACUAUAGAUGAGAUAUCUAAAAUUUGAGUAUAUGAUUAAAAGAGAAAAAUAAAAUCAUAGGGUACUAAAUUAAUACACUAUAAAUGAUAAGGUACUGAACUGAGAAAGUGCGAAAUUAUAAGGAUGGUAUUUAAAGUUUAUCCUUUAUUUUAAAAUUGAGAGAUAAAUAUCUUGAACAGUGUCAAUUUCUUUUCAAAUAUUAAGAUUUAUUGGGUAGAUUUUGAAUUUUAGAGAGAAAUUUGAAAACUUUAGACAUGUUUGAAAAAUGAGUUUUUUUCCCUGAAGUAUAUAAGAAAUUGUUACUAAAAUUAAAAUAUAAUGCAUAAUUAAUGAAAUUUAUUAAUUAAUCUUAAUAAUUGACAGUAGAGAAACAACUCUUGCUUGAUUUAUAUGAAAAACAAAAUCCAUGCUCAAAAUAUGGAAAUUAUUUUAUUUGCAUGCCUUUUUAAUGUUAUAUAUAUUAUUAUGUAGUUAAUGAAUUAGAUUUUGAUUACAUAAAAGAGUGCCUACACUCAGUACUUUGAUCUAUGCCCCGUACGUAGCACAUAGUUUUCAAUUAUUAAGAUUAAUUAAUAAAAAAUGUCUGAUGAUAUAAAAUAUAAUUUAUAAUAUCUAAUAUUAUGUAGUUAAUGAAUUAGAUUUUGAUUACAUAAAAGAGUGCCUACACUCAGUACUUUGAUCUAUGCCCCGUACGUAGCACAUAGUUUUCAAUUAUUAAUAAUUUGAAAUAAAAAAUGUCUGAUGAUAUAAAAUAUAAUUUAUAAUAUCUAAUAGUCUAUAUUCAAAAAGUUAUUAUCUAAGUGUUAAAUAGUAUCAAAAAUUAACAGUAAAAAACAGUCAUUGUUCAAUCGCUAUAAUUUGUUAUGUACAGAUCAUCUAAUUUUAAACAUGCACUGAGCGAAAAUAUACAGAAACCUUUUUUUUUUUGUUUCCAGAUGAAACCACAUAAAUCAAAACUAAUCGCGAUACGAAAUAUAAAAUAACUUUUUAGUUAUAUCCUUUUGUGGGUGAUAAUUUUGCCUCUUGGUAUUGGUGCCACUGCCGUACCGCGUCUCUCCUUUCUGACACGUGCCACCACCGUGGCGCACACAGUUAUCUACGUGGCUACGCAUGCGGAGCCCACUCGUCAGAAAAUUUACGAUAUCACACUUACACCACAUCAUCAAUAUUUUUUAUUUUAAAAAAUAAAAAUAUUUUUAUAAUAACUAUGAUUAAACAAAUAAAUUUUUAUAAUAACUAUGAUUAAACAAAUAAAUUUUAAAAAAUUAUUUGAUCAUCACUAAUACUAGUGCAGAGACCCGCGCGAUGCAGCGGGUAGAUAAUAGAAGUAAAAUUUAAAAAUGUUAAUUAAUUUUAUAUUUACGAUUUAUUGAUAUAUAUAAAGCUAUAACAUAUUAAGUACAGUUAUUUUGUAUGACUAAAUUUACAUAGUAAGCAGAGGCUCCCGCGCGGACCGACUCAGCGAGCACUUAUAUAGGUCGCGGCUCGGCUUCGCGGGACGAUGCUUCUUGAAGGAGACAAUGUUCUUCAGAGGCUCUUCUUCUUCUUCUUCUUCUUCUUCUUCUUUGUUAACACAAUGAGAGAAAGAGGGAGAUGAGUGCGGAGUAGGAGAUUAGACGAUGAUAUUUUUUUAUGGUGCAUGUAAAAGAGUUACAAAAGAAAGGGGGUAGAAGAUUAAUUAAUGGAGGAGGGGAGUGGUGCAUGUAAAAGAAUUACAAAAGAGAGGGAGUGAGAGAUUAAUUAAUGGAGGAGGGGAGUGGUGCAUGUAAAAGAAUUACAGAAGAGAAGGAGUGGGAGAUUAAUGGAGGAGGAAAGUGGUUAAAGUUAUAAAAUAGAAUUUUAAUAUGGUGCAUGUAAUUAAAUAUUGCAUGUAAUUAGAGUAGUGGUGAGAUGAGUUAGGCGUUAAGAAAAGAAGAAGAUGGUUUAAUUUAAAGUUGGAUUUAAAGUUACAUAUAAUUAAAUGUUGUAACUUAUAUAUAAUUAGAGGAGUGGGGAGGUGAAGAAUUGAGAGUUAAAAAGAAAAGAAGGUGGUUUGAUUUAAAGUUGGCUAUGAGAAGUAAGAAUAACAUGCCACGUGGCAAAAAGUAUUGUGGCUUCAUAUAGGUUUAUAGAUAACUUGUACUUUUUAAAAAAAGUUCG
rnacentral:lncRNA from 1 species